rnacentral:rRNA from 1 species
GGCAGCACGGGGGCAACCCUGGUGGCGAGUGGCGAACGGGUGAGUAAUAUAUCGGAACGUACCCGGAAAUGGGGGAUAACGUAGCGAAAGUUACGCUAAUACCGCAUAUGCCCUGAGGGGGAAAGCGGGGGAUUCGUAAGAACCUCGCGUUUUCGGAGCGGCCGAUAUCGGAUUAGCUAGUAGGUGAGGUAAAGGCUCACCUAGGCGACGAUCCGUAGCUGGUCUGAGAGGACGACCAGCCACACUGGAACUGAGACACGGUCCAGACUCCUACGGGAGGCAGCAGUGGGGAAUUUUGGACAAUGGGCGCAAGCCUGAUCCAGCCAUGCCGCGUGAGUGAAGAAGGCCUUCGGGUUGUAAAGCUCUUUCAGCCGGAAAGAAAACGCAUGGGCUAAUACCCUGUGUGGAUGACGGUACCGGAAGAAGAAGCACCGGCUAACUACGUGCCAGCAGCCGCGGUAAUACGUAGGGUGCGAGCGUUAAUCGGAAUUACUGGGCGUAAAGCGUGCGCAGGCGGUUUUGUAAGACAGAUGUGAAAUCCCCGGGCUUAACCUGGGAACUGCAUUUGUGACUGCAAGGCUAGAGUACGGCAGAGGGGGGUAGAAUUCCACGUGUAGCAGUGAAAUGCGUAGAUAUGUGGAGGAAUACCGAUGGCGAAGGCAGCCCCCUGGGUCGAUACUGACGCUCAUGCACGAAAGCGUGGGGAGCAAACAGGAUUAGAUACCCUGGUAGUCCACGCCCUAAACGAUGUCAACUAGGUGUUGGGGGAGGAGACUUCCUUAGUACCGCAGCUAACGCGUG